rnacentral:rRNA from 1 species
AUUGAACGCUGGCGGCAUGCUUUACACAUGCAAGUCGAACGGCAGCGCGGGCUUUGGCCUGGCGGCGAGUGGCGAACGGGUGAGUAAUACAUCGGAACGUGCCCAGUAGUGGGGGAUAGCUCGGCGAAAGCCGGAUUAAUACCGCAUACGACCUGAGGGUGAAAGCGGGGGAUCUUCGGACCUCGCGCUAUUGGAGCGGCCGAUGGCAGAUUAGCUAGUUGGUGGGGUAAAGGCCUACCAAGGCGACGAUCUGUAGCUGGUCUGAGAGGACGACCAGCCACACUGGGACUGAGACACGGCCCAGACUCCUACGGGAGGCAGCAGUGGGGAAUUUUGGACAAUGGGCGAAAGCCUGAUCCAGCAAUGCCGCGUGUGUGAUGAAGGCUUUCGGGUUGUAAAGCACUUUUGGCGGGAACGAAAAGGACUGUGCCAAUACCACGGUUCGAUGACGGUACCCGCAGAAUAAGCACCGGCUAACUACGUG